GUUUUCCGCCAUAUAUAGUUUUUUUAAAUUAUACUUUGAGGAAAAAGGUAAAAAAAAAACAAAGAAAAAAAACAUGUCUUAUAUGUAUCUUUUUCCAAUGACAGAUCUGACAUUGACAGACAUUGUCAGUGACAUCACAGGAAAGCUUCAAAGCUAAAAGGCAAGUUGUCAUAAAGUCUUUAGUUGUGCCACGACCGCGUGCUUGGAAUGCGCUAAGCAAACAAACUCGUUCAACUGAUGGGAGAUUUCGCCACACUAAGAAGCCCACAGACAUGGAGGUGAGCGCCCAGGCCUUGAGGAUCUAUUACGCCUCUUGGGGAAAACUGCACAUCUCACGUAGCCAGAGAGGAGGACAGCGUCUUCACAGGUUCCUCAUGCUCACCCAAAUGAUCGACUCAUCUGGUGACCUGUACCUCUCAGCUCUAGCCAGCAUGAAAAGCGGGGAACAGAUGGAUCUAAAACCUGUAGCUGGUGACGAGGAAGAGAAGGAACGCAGGGAAAGCGUUGAAGCCGCACUCGCUAUCUCCCAGUUAUGAACAUCUUCUAUACGAGUGCUUCUCGUUAGAAGCUGGAGCAGUCCACAUCCAAAGGUGUGGUAAAAUGGAAUGCAGAAGGGGUGCUCAAAUUCUGACCAGUUUGUUUGGCACAUCCUUUUUGAGGUCCUUUGCCCAACUCACUGUUGUCAGUCUGAAUAACAAACCAAGAGGAGGACCGACAACUGCUAUGCUGAGAGUGUCUGACAGUGAGACCCAACUUUUCCAAUUUUUCUCUGCACUGUGACAAAACAGAAGGACAAACAGAGGAUUGAUGGCAUGACAUUUUCAAAGUCAGAAUCUAAUAUAAAGCUUUUC